CAACGCCGGGAAACUCACCAGAUAAGACAGCUGAAUGAUGGUCGGGCUGAAGACUCUACUUGACUAGCUGAGAGGAGGUGCAUGGCCGUCGUCAGUUCGUACUGUGAAGCAUCCUGUUAAGUCAGGCAACGAGCGAGACCCACGCCAACAGUUGCCAGCUCGUCCUCCGGGAUGGAGGGGACACUGUUGGGACCGCCUCUGCUAAAGAGGAGGAAGGAAUGGGCAACGGUAGGUCAGCAUGCCCCGAAUUAUCUGGGCUACACGCGGGCUACAAUGGGUGGGACAAUGGGUAUCGACACCGAAAGGUGAAGGCAAUCUCCUAAACCCAUCCUUAGUUCGGAUUGUGGGCUGCAACUCGCCCACAUGAAGCUGGAAUCUGUAGUAAUCGUGUUUCAAAAUAGCACGGUGAAUAUGUCCCUGCUCCUU
rnacentral:rRNA from 1 species